CUGUGCGAUACAGGUGGCGAGACUUAAAUCAGACCGCUAAACAUGUAGAUCUGCCCGAACAAGGCUUGCGGACGGGGGUUCAAAUCCCCCCAGCUCCACCA
rnacentral:tRNA from 1 species